AUCACUUGAGCUUGUCUGAAAAGCAGAGAAAGAAGUGGAAAUUGAAAUGAGUAGAAUUCAAAGAGGAAACAAUUUGAGAAUGAAAUGGAGAGUGGAUCUUCUGAGCGUGAUGAAAUCAAGAAAGUGUUAGGGUGAUGACUGAGAUGAAUUCGAAAUCUGAUGAGAAGGUUCUGAGCUGAUUUGAAUCGAGAAAUUAAUAAUGAUUUAGGGUUUCAAUGAAGAACAAUCUUAGGGUUCUCUGAAGAUGAUUAAGUGGAUGAUUUCUGGCGUUGUUCUUGAAUAAUUGAGGGCUCGAGCUGAACAAGGAAGAGAUGGUUGUGCUGUUCAGAUGAGGCAGCGACCUUAUUGGAGAAAUUACCUUUGCUGCUGGUAAUUUAGGUCAAGAAAAUGGAGAUAUAUGAUGCUGUGAUGAAAGAUCCAUGGGGAUUUGAAGUUGUUUGAAUGGAGAAGAAGAAUUGAAUAGAUGGGUCUGUGUUGGUGGUGGUUUGGCAGUGGUGAAUGGCAUGAAUCGGGUUAAUGGUGUAUGAGCUCAAGAAAGAAAUGAGGAAUAGAUGAUGUUUAUGGUAUUGAGAUUGAGCUGCAGUUCAAGUUGUUGCAGUUGCUGGGGUUUGCCAGGGUGCUGUUGCAGGUGAUGGAGUUGCAGAGAAGGGUUUGGAUAUUAUGAAGUUGGUGCUGAGUUAGCUAGUUGCAGCUGCAGGAAAUGCUGAUACAGGUGAAGACAUGAUUGCAGCCGAAGGAGUGACAACGUGUAUGAUAUCAGUUAGGAUGAAUGGCUCGAGUGGCGCUGCCCUGGUGGUGUUCGUAGCCAAGAAUCAAUUGCCGCUGAUGGAAGAAUUGGUACUGCAGAUUGAGACCAUUAACAACGGGAUCCAUGGAAUGAUUGAAGAGAACGGUGUUCUGAGCUAAUGUUGCAGAUGGGAGAUGUUACUAUUGCCGAGAGAAAAAGAAGUUGCAGGAACUGAAAUGGCAGCUGUUGUGGUGCUGAAUGGAGGAUGCUGGAAUCAAAAUGGAAGCUGAGUCGGUGUUUGCUAUUGCAUUACAGGGAAGAACUCGAGCAACUGAAAGUAUGGCCUGAGGUAGUUUCGAAACUGCAGAAACGGUGCGAAAAUGCAGUGAAAAUGGUGAUGUUGUGACUGGUAUGAGCUGGAACUGGAGGCUUAAGUUGCAUGCUUGAGAUGCAAGUCUGGUAAGGCGAAGGGUGUUAUGGAUUUACAGAUAAGAUGCAGUGGUGGAUUGAACUGGAGAUGGGUUGAAGUGCAACUGCAGUAUUGAGAGUUUGAUGCAGUCUGUGGUGAUAAAGAACUAAUGGCUUAAAUGGUAUUGAGAGAUUGCAGAACAACAGCUGCAGUGUAGCAGGGAUUGAGAAUGUGCUGUGCAGAUGGUGUUGGUGAUGGAACUGAAGGUUCAAAAGGUGUUGUGCACUUACGCUGGUGAUCAUUGUUGCAGAUGAACUGCACUACAGCUGCAGGAUUGGUUAAUGGUGCAACUGUGAUGGCAAAGAUGAUAAAGCAAUGAAGUAAAUAGGAUGAGGUGCUGGUAAUGAAGCCAUAAACUGGUGGAAUUAGGAGUUGCAGCUGCAUAAAUUGAUGUGCAGGAAGUGAAUGAAUUGCAGGGGAGAUGGACGGCAUUUGGAGGAACAGAUUGAACAAGAGAAUAGGCUAUCAGGUUUUCUGGAACUGACAGACAAAAGCCAAAUAUUUAUUGGGCUUAUGAUUUGUUUGAGGCCUGAAUGACAGGUGAACAUGAAUUUGGGCUGGGCUUUACAGUAGCUGAUGAGGACUCUGAACUGCUGAUUGUCAAUUUUUUUUGUGAUACAAUCAUUUGGUGUAAGAUUUGUAAUGUUUCGAUAGUGAUUAUUUCAAUAUCUUGAAAAUUGCUUUGAUGCUAA